AAAGAGUGCGUAAUAGCUCACUGGUCGAGUGACGCUGCGCCGAAAAUGUACUGGGGCUAAACGUAUCACCGAAGCUGCGGAUGGACACCGUAUGGUGUCCGUGGUAGGAGAGCGUUCUAAGGGCGUUGAAGCCGGACCGGAAGGACCGGUGGAGCGCUUAGAAGUGAGAAUGCCGGUAUGAGUAGCGAAAGAAGGGUGAGAAUCCCUUCCACCGAAUGCCUAAGGUUUCCUGAGGAAGGCUCGUCCGCUCAGGGUUAGUCGGGGCCUAAGCCGAGGCCGAAAGGCGUAGGCGAUGGACAACAGGUUGAUAUUCCUGUACCGCCUCUUCACCGUUUGAACGAUGGGGGGACGCAGGAGGAUAGGGCAAGCGCGACACUGGUUGAUCGCGUCCAAGCAGUUAGGCCGGUGCGGAGGCAAAUCCUUCGCGCCAAGGCGGAGCUGUGAUGGCGAGGGAAAUUUUAGUACCGAAGUUCCUGAUUCCACACUGCCAAGAAAAGCCUCUAGUGAGGUGAAAGGCGCCCGUACCGCAAACCGACACAGGUAGGCGAGGAGAGAAUCCUAAGGUGAGCGAGAGAACUCUCGUUAAGGAACUCGGCAAAAUGACCCCGUAACUUCGGGAGAAGGGGUGCUUUUUGGGGUGUAUGCCCCGGGAAGCCGCAGUGAAUAGGCCCAGGCGACUGUUUAGCAAAAACACAGGUCUCUGCGAAGCCGCAAGGCGAAGUAUAGGGGCUGACACCUGCCCGGUGCUGGAAGGUUAAGGAGAGGGGUUAGCCGUAAGGCGAAGCUCUGAACUGAAGCCCCAGUAAACGGCGGCCGUAACUAUAACGGUCCUAAGGUAGCGAAAUUCCUUGUCAGGUAAGUUCUGACCCGCACGAAAGGUGUAACGAUCUGGGCACUGUCUCAACGAGAGACUCGGUGAAAUUAUAGUACCUGUGAAGAUGCAGGUUACCCGCGACAGGACGGAAAGACCCCAUGGAGCUUUACUGCAGCCUGAUAUUGAAUUUUGGUACAGCUUGUACAGGAUAGGUAGGAGCCUUGGAAACCGGAGCGCCAGCUUCGGCGGAGGCAUCGGUGGGAUACUACCCUGGCUGUAUUGAAAUUCUAACCCGCACCCCUUACCGGGGUGGGAGACAGUGUCAGGCAGGCAGUUUGACUGGGGCGGUCGCCUCCUAAAAGGUAACGGAGGCGCCCAAAGGUUCCCUCAGAAUGGUUGGAAAUCAUUCGCAGAGUGUAAAGGCAUAAGGGAGCUUGACUGCGAGACUUACAAGUCGGGCAGGGACGAAAGUCGGGCUUAGUGAUCCGGUGGUUCCGCAUGGAAGGGCCAUCGCUCAACGGAUAAAAGCUACCCUGGGGAUAACAGGCUGAUCUCCCCCAAGAGUCCACAUCGACGGGGAGGUUUGGCACCUCGAUGUCGGCUCAUCGCAUCCUGGGGCUGUAGUCGGUCCCAAGGGUUGGGCUGUUCGCCCAUUAAAGCGGUACGCGAGCUGGGUUCAGAACGUCGUGAGACAGUUCGGUCCCUAUCCGUCGCGGGCGCAGGAAAUUUGAGAGGAGCUGUCCUUAGUACGAGAGGACCGGGAUGGACGCACCGCUGGUGUACCAGUUGUCUUGCCAAAGGCAUCGCUGGGUAGCUAUGUGCGGAAGGGAUAAGUGCUGAAAGCAUCUAAGCAUGAAGCCCCCCUCAAGAUGAGAUUUCCCACAGUUUAUACUGGUAAGAUCCCUGAAAGAUGAUCAGGUUGAUAGGUCCGGGGUGGAAGCGCGGCGACG
rnacentral:rRNA from 2 species